rnacentral:rRNA from 1 species
UACGAAGGGUGCUAGCGUUAUUCGGAUUUAUUGGGCGUAAAGGGUGUGUAGACGGCAUAUUAAGUCAACUGUUAAAUUCUCCGGCCUAACUGGGGGUCAGCGGUAGAAACUGAUGUGCUAGAGGAUGAAAGAGAGAAGUGGAAUUCUCGGAGUAGCGGUAAAAUGCGUAGAUCUCGAGAGGAACACCGAUGGCGAAGGCAGCUUCUUGGUUCAUUCCUGACGUUGAGACACGAAAGCGUGGGGAGCAAACAGG